CCUGGGGAGUACGACCGCAAGGUUGAAACUCAAAGGAAUUGACGGGGACCCGCACAAGCGGUGGAGCAUGUGGUUUAAUUUGAAGCAACGCGAAGAACCUUACCAAAUCUUGACAUCCUUUGACCGCUCUAGAGAUAGAGUCUUCCCCUUCGGGGGACAAAGUGACAGGUGGUGCAUGGUUGUCGUCAGCUCGUGUCGUGAGAUGUUGGGUUAAGUCCCGCAACGAGCGCAACCCUUAAGCUUAGUUGCCAUCAUUAAGUUGGGCACUCUAGGUUGACUGCCGGUGACAAACCGGAGGAAGGGUGGGGAUGACGUCAAAUCAUCAUGCCCCUUAUGAUUUGGGCUACACACGUGCUACAAUGGAUAAUACAAAGGGCAGCGAAUCCGCGAGGCCAAGCAAAUCCCAUAAAAUUAUUCUCAGUUCGGAUUGUAGUCUGCAACUCGACUACAUGAAGCUGGAAUCGCUAGUAAUCGUAGAUCAGCAUGCUACGGUGAAUACGUUCCCGGGUCUUGUACACACCGCCCGUCACACCACGAGAGUUUGUAACACCCGAAGCCGG
rnacentral:rRNA from 2 species